GGACACAAAAAGUUUCUGGCGAGAAUAACAGGUUACUUCUUUCCGAGUGAGUCUGGAAAACCCCUCAAUCGCUCUGAGAUCCUUGUUUUGGGGGGAAAACAAGGGACGGGAGAGAGAAAAAAUUGUGAUUGAAGAAGAGAAUGGGUUCGGGAUCUUUCCUCAAGGUUGUAGCCAAGAACUUCGAUGUUCUUGCCGGGCCGGUGGUGACACUUGUUUACCCUUUGUAUGCUUCGGUCAAGGCAAUAGAAACGAAAUCUCCUGUUGAUGAUCAGCAAUGGCUCACUUAUUGGGUCUUGUAUUCUUUUAUUACUCUGUUUGAAAUGACUUUUGCCAAAGUGAUCGAAUGGCUUCCUUUCUGGUCCUAUGCAAAGCUGAUCUUCAACUGCUGGUUGGUCUUACCCUACUUCAAUGGUGCUGCAUAUGUCUAUGAACAUUUUGUGCGGCCGGUUUUUGUCAACCAUCAAACGGUGAACAUUUGGUAUUUCCCAAAGAAGAGGAACUUCUUUAGUAAACAAGAUGAUGUUUUAUCAGCUGCAGAAAGAUAUAUUGAAGAGAACGGACCAGAAGCAUUUGAAAAGCUCAUAAGCAAGAUUGGUAGUAUGGAUUUUUAGCCCUCGUCAGAUGGAGAAUGCUUACUGGAUCAGAUGUCAUGUUUUGCAGUCUGAGAGGGUAUCAAAGGCCAGGAACAACCGCCGUUCAAUUUUAGAGGAGGUGGAAGCUGAAAGAGAAUCAAAGCCCUGGAGUGAAAAUUAUGCUCCUAUCUUUGAUGAUGAUCAUCGAUACUAAAGCAAAGAUUUCUUUUGUUGUCUCCAGUAGUGUACUAAAGCAAGCGUGAUGAUGGGGUUUAUCAUCGGUCUCAGAAUCGACUCUUACCUGUCUGACUUCAUGAGAUAGUUACCGUUUUUUUUUUUCUGUUUGAUAUGUCUAUAUCUGUUGUCCAAGAUGUCUAAGCUUUGGAAAGCAAGACCUCCCUUUCUUGUGAUUCGAGUCUAGAACUCAGUAUAUAUCCUCUUUAUACUCAUGUAACUAUGUAUCCUCUUUAUACUCAUGUAACUAUGUAGUAUUUUCAGGUUUUAUUUGAUGUUUUAUAGAAGCCAUAAUCAAUCCAGAUUCUUGACGGAACUUUGACUAGUUU